rnacentral:rRNA from 1 species
CAGUAGCGUAUAUUAAAGUUGUUGCAGUUAAAAAGCUCGUAGUUGGAUUUCUGAUCGAGACAUCAGGUCGGGUCCGAGAGGAUCAUGUACUUUGAUUUUGUUUUGAUCAUCCUUGGGGAGAGCAUUUCUGGCAUUCAGUUGUCGGGAUUGGGAUCCUCAUCGUUUACUGUGAAAAAAUUAGAGUGUUCAAAGCAGGCCUCGGCCUCUGAAUACAUUAGCAUGGAAUAAUAAGAUAGGACUUUGGUGGUCUAUUUUGUUGGUUUGCACGCCAAAGUAAUGAUUAAUAGGGAUAGUUGGGGGUAUUCGUAUUCAAUUGUCAGAGGUGAAAUUCUUGGAUUUAUGGAAGACGAACUACUGCGAAAGCAUUUACCAAGGAUGUUUUCAUUAA